rnacentral:piRNA from 1 species
UGUACCUAUUGAGACAAUGAGAUGACCUCCA